rnacentral:rRNA from 1 species
CAGCAGUCGCCGCGGGAAUACGUAGGGUGCGAGCGUCAAUCGGAAUUACUGGGCGUAAAGCGUGCGCAGGCGGUUAUGUAAGACAGUUGUGAAAUCCCCGGGCUCAACCUGGGAACUGCAUCUGUGACUGCAUAGCUAGAGUACGGUAGAGGGGGAUGGAAUUCCGCGUGUAGCAGUGAAAUGCGUAGAUAUGCGGAGGAACACCGAUGGCGAAGGCAAUCCCCUGGACCUGUACUGACGCUCAUGCACGAAAGCGUGGGGAGCAAACAGGAUUAGAUACCCCCGUAGUCCCUGUCUCUUAUAC